rnacentral:rRNA from 1 species
UUGAAUUUCGGGAUCAAUUUAUCGGUCGUGCCAAUGGUAUGAACUGGUACAAAUUUGGGUUUCUUCCCCCUUUCCUUGGAACCGGAACGCUAUAAAUUGNNNNGGGUUCGGUUCGGGGGUAAGGACGUUUUAGUUAGAAAAAAUUAGAGUGUUUAAAGCAAGCAUUAGCUUGAAUACAUUAGCAUGGAAUAAUGAAAUAGGACGUUUGAUCCUAUUUCGUUGGUUUCUAGGAUCGACGUAAUGAUUAAUAGGGAUAGUUGGGGGCAUUAGUAUUCAAUUGUCAGAGGUGAAAUUCUUGGAUUUAUUGAAGACUAACUACUGCGAAAGCAUUUGCCAAGGAUGUUUUCAUUAAUCAAGAACGAAAGUUAGGGGAUCGAAGACGAUCAGAUACCGUCGUAGUCUUAACCAUAAACUAUGCCGACUAGGGAUCGGAUGAUGUUAAUUUUUAAUGACUC